UACACAUGCAAGUCGAACGGACCCUUCGGGGUUAGUGGCGGACGGGUGAGUAACACGUGGGAACGUGCCUUUAGGUUCGGAAUAGCUCCUGGAAACGGGUGGUAAUGCCGAAUGUGCCCUUCGGGGGAAAGAUUUAUCGCCUUUAGAGCGGCCCGCGUCUGAUUAGCUAGUUGGUGAGGUAACGGCUCACCAAGGCGACGAUCAGUAGCUGGUCUGAGAGGAUGACCAGCCACACUGGGACUGAGACACGGCCCAGACUCCUACGGGAGGCAGCAGUGGGGAAUCUUGCGCAAUGGGCGAAAGCCUGACGCAGCCAUGCCGCGUGAAUGAUGAAGGUCUUAGGAUUGUAAAAUUCUUUCACCGGGGACGAUAAUGACGGUACCCGGAGAAGAAGCCCCGGCUAACUUCGUGCCAGCAGCCGCGGUAAUACGAAGGGGGCUAGCGUUGCUCGGAAUUACUGGGCGUAAAGGGCGCGUAGGCGGAUCGUUAAGUCAGAGGUGAAAUCCCAGGGCUCAACCCUGGAACUGCCUUUGAUACUGGCGAUCUUGAGUAUGAGAGAGGUAUGUGGAACUCCGAGUGUAGAGGUGAAAUUCGUAGAUAUUCGGAAGAACACCAGUGGCGAAGGCGACAUACUGGCUCAUUACUGACGCUGAGGCGCGAAAGCGUG
rnacentral:rRNA from 1 species